rnacentral:rRNA from 1 species
AUUGAACGCUGGCGGCAGGCCUAACACAUGCAAGUCGAGCGGAUGAAGGGAGCUUGCUCCUGGAUUCAGCGGCGGACGGGUGAGUAAUGCCUAGGAAUCUGCCUGGUAGUGGGGGAUAACGUCCGGAAACGGGCGCUAAUACCGCAUACGUCCUGAGGGAGAAAGUGGGGGAUCUUCGGACCUCACGCUAUCAGAUGAGCCUAGGUCGGAUUAGCUAGUUGGUGGGGUAAAGGCCUACCAAGGCGACGAUCCGUAACUGGUCUGAGAGGAUGAUCAGUCACACUGGAACUGAGACACGGUCCAGACUCCUACGGGAGGCAGCAGUAGGGAAUAUUGGACAACGGGCGAAAGCCUGAUCCAGCCAUGCCGCGUGUGUGAAGAAGGUCUUCGGAUUGUAAAGCACUUUAAGUUGGGAGGAAGGGCAGUAAGUUAAUACCUUGCUGUUUUGACGUUACCAACAGAAUAAGCACCGGCUAACUUCGUG